rnacentral:rRNA from 1 species
UACGAAGGGGGCUAGCGUUGCUCGGAAUCACUGGGCGUAAAGGGUGCGUAGGCGGGUCUUUAAGUCAGGGGUGAAAUCCUGGAGCUCAACUCCAGAACUGCCUUUGAUACUGAAGAUCUUGAGUUCGGGAGAGGUGAGUGGAACUGCGAGUGUAGAGGUGAAAUUCGUAGAUAUUCGGAAGAACACCAGUGGCGAAGGCGGACUCACUGGAC